rfam:Thermodesulfobium narugense DSM 14796, complete genome.
CCCGGUGACCAUAGCAAAGGUGCCCCACCCGUUCCCAUUCCGAACACGGAAGUGAAAGCCUUUAGCGCCGACGAUACUAUUGGGGAAAAUAGGACGUUGCCGGGA